rnacentral:rRNA from 1 species
CAGUAGCCACGGGAAUACGUAGGUGGCAAGCGUUGUCCGGAAUUAUUGGGCGUAAAGGGCUCGCAGGCGGUUUCUUAAGUCUGAUGUGAAAGCCCCCGGCUCAACCGGGGAGGGUCAUUGGAAACUGGGAAACUUGAGUGCAGAAGAGGAGAGUGGAAUUCCACGUGUAGCGGUGAAAUGCGUAGAGAUGUGGAGGAACACCAGUGGCGAAGGCGACUCUCUGGUCUGUAACUGACGCUGAGGAGCGAAAGCGUGGGGAGCGAACAGGAUUAGAUACCCGUGUAGUCCCUGUCUCUUAUAC